UACGUAGGCAGCGAGCGUUGUUCGGAGUUACUGGGCGUAAAGGGUGUGUAGGCGGUUCUCUAAGUUUGGUGUGAAAUCUCCCGGCUCAACCGGGAGGGUGCGCCGAAAACUGGAGGGCUAGAGUGCGGGAAGGGAGAGUAGAAUUCCUGGUGUAGCGGUGAAAUGCGUAGAUAUCAGGAGGAAUACCGGUGGUGUAGACGGCUUUCUGGACCGUAACUGACGCUGAGACACGAAAAGCGUGGGUAGCAAACAGG
rnacentral:rRNA from 1 species